GGUCAUUGGUUUAUGACUGAAGCCAGCUAUGUCACUGGCUUUGGGUGAGAUGGUAGUGCUGCCUCUCAGGCCCAACCCCUGGCAGUCAUUCUUCCACUUCCAAGAGCUUGUGCACACUCAAUAGUAAUUCCUUAAGGCAGUGACUUUUGAUGAGAUCAUUUCAUUCCCUCUUCUCUCUACUAACAGAGAGCGAAAUCAUGGAGCCUUCCAAGACCUUCAUGAGAAACCUGCCAAUCACACCAGGCUACAGCGGCUUCAUACCAUUCCUCAGCUGCCAAGGAACGGCCAGAGAGGAUGACAUGAACUACUGUGUGAAAACCUUCCAGGAGAAAACACAGCGCUAUAAAGACCAGCUGCAGGAAUUUUGCUGCGCAGUGGCCACUGCCCCAAAACUGAAGCCUGUCAACUCCGAGGAGACGGUCCUGCGGGCCCUGCACCAGUACAAUCAGCAGCACCACCCUCUCCUCCUGGAAUGCAAAUACGUAAAGAAACCUCUCCAGGAGCCUCCAAUCCCUGGCUGGGCAGGCUACCUGCCGAGAGCCAGGGUCACUGAAUUUGGCUGUGGCACGAGAUAUACUGUCAUGGCCAAAAACUGCUACAAGGACUUCCUGGACAUCACAGAGAGGGCCAAGAAAGCACAUCUGAAACCAUAUGAAGAGUGAGUCUGGCUUGGGUCGACACCCCAGGCACAAGAUCAAAGGGAGAAGUGCAAACCCCGGACGGGGGUUUACCAGAUGUCCCCAUCCCAGCACUAGGACGAUUUGUGUGUGAUUUGUCUUAGAAAAGGCGCCUCAUUUGUAGUUUCAGGGCUUCCCCAGUAGGCAGCUGCCCCCUGCUCCUGACCUGCGCUCAGCAUUUUCCAGCAGCUCUACCUGUGGUCUUUGCUGGUUUGCAGGGAGGGGCUGGGAGUAAAAACCAGCAGGGCUACCAUCCUGGCAGUGGCUUACGGCCCAAGGGUGCUGAGUGGCCUCAGUUUUCUCUUCUGCAAAAUGAGGAGGAUGAUCUUUCCCUUUAGAAUAAAUUAAUAUACGGAGUUAGCUCCACAAAAACUUCUGCUCCUUCUCCAAAAGUUUUGCAGCAUAAAGAGCUGCUGCCAAA